rnacentral:rRNA from 1 species
UACGUAGGGUGCAAGCGUUGUCCGGAAUUAUUGGGCGUAAAGAGCUCGUAGGCGGUCUGUCACGUCGGCUGUGAAAACCCGGGGCUCAACCCCGGGCCUGCAGUCGAUACGGGCAGACUAGAGUGCGGUAGGGGAGACUGGAAUUCCUGGUGUAGCGGUGAAAUGCGCAGAUAUCAGGAGGAACACCGGUGGCGAAGGCGGGUCUCUGGGCCGUAACUGACGCUGAGGAGCGAAAGCGUGGGGGAGCGAACAGG